GGUCUUAUGGUCUAGUGGUAUGAUUCUUCCUUCGGGUUCACACCCGCUCUAAUUCCAAUUGGAGCUCUCCUGGCAUGGAAGAGGCCCCGCGUUCGAAUCGCGGUAAGACCC